rnacentral:rRNA from 1 species
GACGAACGCUGGCGGCGUGCUUAACACAUGCAAGUCGAACGAAGUGGCGAACGGGUGAGUAACGUGUAAUCAACCUGCCCUUCAGAGGGGGACAACAGUUGGAAACGACUGCUAAUACCGCAUCCGGAAGGUGGGGGUUGCGUUUGUUUAGCUAGUUGGCGGGGUAACGGCCCACCAAGGCGAUGAUCAGUAGCCGGUCUGGGAGGAUGAACGGCCACAUUGGGACUGGGACACGGCCCAGACUCCUAAGGGAGGCAGCAGGGGGGAAUCUUCCGCAAUGGACGAAAGUCUGACGGAGCAACGCCGCGUGAGUGAUGACGGCCUUCGGGUUGUAAAGCUCUGUUAAUCGGGACGCGGUACCGGAAUAGAAAGCCACGGCUAACUACGUGCCAGCAGCCGCGGUAAUUC